UGCAUAGCAUUUAUCCAAUUUUCAUCUUUUUCGGCUUCCUCUAGUGAUUUAGGCUCUAUUUGUGAAACGAAUGCAAGAUAAUUACUAGUAUUUCUUAGAGAGGAUCUUGUUCUUACCCCUUGUGAGGGAUCACCAAGGAUUAGAUCCCUUGGAUGACCAUGUGCAUACCUCCAUUCCUUAGGAAGAUCUUGAUUUCUCGUUGGAGAUUGAUCUUCUUCUUCUAGCUGAAUUGUAUCUUCCUUGAUUUCAUCCUCAAGUUGUUUGUCUUGUAUGGAGAACUCCUUCAUUCUGUCUUCAAGUAUACCUGCAUCACUAUCUUCUUCUUUUCUAGAAGAAUCUCCAUUAGCUUCAUCAAAAACAACAUGAAUGGAUUCUUCAACAAC
rnacentral:lncRNA from 1 species